CCAUGCCUCAGUUUCCCUGUCUGUAAAUUGAGGGUAUUCAUAGCCUCGUAGGAUGCUUUGGGAAUAAAGGAGACAAUCCACGUGAAAGCACUCAGCCAGCACCUGGCACACAGUAAGAGCCAAAUGAGUGUUAGCUGUUACUAUCAUUAAUCAUUACACAGGGGCCUGAACCCAUGACAAAUGAGGUCAGUGGUUCUCAAACUCGAGGGCACGUCAAAGUCACCGGAAGGUCUGGGGGGGGCGCACAGAUGGCUGGGCCCCACCUGCAGAGUUUCUGACUCCACAGGUGUAGGCUGGGGCUGGAGACGGUGCAUUUUCUAGCAAGUGACUGUAAGUUCCCUGGCGACUGCUGAUCUGCUGAGCACACUCUGAGAAGCGCUGCUGUGCACUUCGGGGCAAGCUCGCCAGGUUAGGGAGGAAGCACAAAGACCCGCUGAGCGCUGGCUGCAGCAGGAUUUGACCUGCGUGUCUCUAGAUCCCGAAGAAUGUUCUCUGAUGCAGACCAAGAGCGACUGCAGGCUUGGAGAAUUUUAGGGCACUUUGUCACGGAAGGUCGUGUCCCGGCAGCCGUCCAGCCAUCUGAAGCUGUGUGGUCGUCUGCAAACAGCAGCCCUGGGCUUUAGAGCCGAGGUUCAGGUCAGAGACGGUCUCGUCUAAGGAAACAUUCCAGGGCUGUCGGCGUGUGUGUGGCGAGAUGGGCCAAUUCAAGCUGCAUCCCAGCAUCCUCCAAGUGGGGGUUCAAGGUGGCCUCGAAGCAGAAAGCUUCCUUGUGAGUCUGAUCUCCAGCCUGGAGGACCCUGCCCUCCUGUAGCCCUGAUCCCUGGGGUCCUGGAGCAAUGGGAAUUAUGACAGAGGCCAUCGGGCCAGAAGGAUCGUGGGUGGUUUUACUGGCCACAAAGAGUCGCUAAUGUAAUGGGAUCUGGGUAAUGCCCUGAACCACUCCCGACUUCUGAAAGAAAGAGUGGCCGUUCCAAAGAGUCUAUACACUCUACCAUGUUCUGCAGACUCCCAGCGCCCUUCCACCAAUCCCACCUCCUCCCAACACAAUGCCUCAUGGGGGAUCCAGGGGGUGGGAGUCUGCUCAGGACUUCGAAAUAUUUGCUCUUUAAUAACAAUAAUGAAAAUAACAAAUGACACUUAUUGAGCACCUUACAUGCAUGCCUUUAUUUCAUCCUCACAAUGGCCCUAUGUGGUAGGUACCACUAUUAUCCCCAUUUUACAGACGAGAGCACUGAGGCCAAGAGGGGCAGAUAGCCCAGAUCCUCAGGGCUAGGAAGUGACAGAGAUUCAAACCCAGAUUGGAGUGGCCCCACAAGCCUCACUUUUAACACCUGCAUGAAUCCGCUGCCUGCUUUGCCCUGAGCCCAGGAGCUCGAUACUUUACUAUUCCACGCAGGCCCCAUCAGGUUCCUGCUGUUCAGGCCAAACCCCGGAGGUCCUGAAUGCACACUCCAGAGGAAGGGGACAUGCACGACACAGGGGUAGAAGGGCAGGCUCUGGGGCUAGCGGGCUCAGGCUGGAAUCCAGCUCCAAGGCUUAUUCGCAGUGUGGCCGGAGACAAGUUACUUUACCUUUCUGUGCCUUUGUUUUCUGUUCGUGCAGAGGAAGAUAACCCCUAUCAGGCAGCAGCAGAGAUGGGAGGAGUGAUGUGUAAAGUACACAAUUGGCGGUCCGUGUCCAGCGCACUGGAAGAGCUCCAUAAACACAGGCUUUUUGUCAGCUCGGCCGCCUCUAUCCAGCUGUCCGGUCAUCACCGCCACCCUGACACUAACAGGCAACUCAGGCUGGCAUGGUCAAGGCUGACUUCCUGAUCUUCCCUCCCGCUCUUGCCCACCCCAACACCUGGGCAAGACACUCCUGUCCUUCUAGGAGCUGAAGUCAAAAAUCUUGGCAUCAUCCUGGACUCCUCUCUCCUGCAAGCCUCACAUCUGACUCACCUGCAAAUCCUUCUAGCUUUCCCUUUAAAAUAUACCCAGAGUCCAGCCCUGUCUCACCGCCUCCACCGCUACCUGGUCCUGGCCAACGCCGUCCUCCCCUGCUGCUCCAGCAGCCUCCCCACUGGGCUCUCUGCUUCCCCUCUCACGCCGACUGUCUUCUGCUGUCGCCAGAGCACCUCAGGAUCCGUCAUGAAACUCCAUUCAAGGCUCCCGUGUGGCCACAUCUCACCCAGAGCAAAUGCCAGCGUCUAAUCACAGGCCCCUGAGAUGGUCCCCACCGCACCAGCAGGGGCAGGGGAAGCAGAAGAUGUGGCAAAGUGCUCGAGAAAAGCAUCGGAGGAAAAGAUGGUCCCUUUGGUUAUAUAGGAAGAUAUCAUUACAGAAAUAAAUAGAUUUUAUGGUUUUUGCUGGAUAGCACAUGAUUGGUCCAAAGUGGACCAAGUAAUGCUGAGGAAGACUUUUUGGAAGAGACGCGAGACAUUCUCAACCUCCCUUCCAAAAUAACACCUAGAUAAGGCUGGAAACGCAAACUAGGCCCUUCUGAGUGAAGAGGCAGGACCAAGCACGGCGCUGGACCCCAGGCCCUCGUGAGGCCCGGCUAAAACCACCGUGAUGGGAUUUUUAAGAUACAAACCUAAAGAGAAAAUGAGAAAGGUGAAGAUAACGAAACUCUGGGAGCCGGAAAGCUUAUGAACAAGAAGCAACUGACUGAGCGGCCGAAGAGCUGAGUUCCAUGCUCACGGCAGGAAAACCCAUGAACCUAUGAACUGGAUUUAUUUAGCAGAACGCUCAGAAAAAUGCAGGAGCCUGUGGCACCAGGUCCUUCUGGAACUGAGAGCGAAGCCGCAGGGAGGGAGAGCGUCAAAUAAGGGAGGCUGGCUGACACUGUUCAGCAGCAGUUAGAUGCUGGGACCCCCACCCCCACUCUGCAUGGUGGGGUGCCUGUCUCUCUCCCACUCUGGCAGAAGACCGACAACUGGCUUUCCAGAGAGGAUAAACCUAGGGACUCUGGACUGUGUGACAUCAGAUGCAGUUGGGACCCAGGGUAUCAAACUGGAGAUGGGGGAUUCAGUGACUGUGGACGUACUGGAUGCUGAGACCCCCUCUCCCAUCCCUCCUACCCUACUGGGCUCCCAGAAUGCUGGCAGCCAGGCCGCUGCGCUCUAGAAAGGAGGCUGGAACAAUCUGCUCCAGUGCAUCUGACAAGCCCAGGUGGAAAGACCUGGAGAGACUGACACAGGGGCUCCCCCAAAAUUGGCACAGCAUAGCACCCCACAGUAAAGCUCACAGGCAAGAAGAUCUGCCUGUUCAGACACCGUGGAUAAGCAGACAUGUGAGGAGAGCCUCUACGAGGCAGAGAACAAAACGAAGAAAAGCGACUUGGAGGAAGAAAACAUUAAGCAAGGAGAAGAAAAUUUCCAAAAAUCAUUAUUGAUAACUUUUGAGAGAUAAGAAAAGAUGUUAAAUCCAUGAAACAAGAACAGAAGUUUAUAAAUAAGAACACUUAUAGAGCAAAAAGUAUUUCUUGCAAAUUAAAAAUGUGAAAAUAGAAAUUAAAAACUUUGUAAAAGAUUGGAAGAUGGAAUUGAGGAAAAUUUUGAAAAGUCAGUCAGAAAGACAAAGAGAUAGGAAACAGAAAAGAAAGAGAAAAUAAUUAGAAGACUAGUCCAAGAAGUCUAACAUGCAAAUAAGAAGAGUACCACAAAGCAACAAUAGUGAAAACAGAGAGGAGGAGAUAUUCGUCAACAAAGCAACACAAGGAUAUUUCCCAAACUGGAAUAGCACGAAUCUCCAGACAGAAAGGGAACUUCAAGUUUGCAGCAUAAUGGAAAAAAUAUACUCACACCAAGGCCACUGUUAUGAAAUUUCCAGAACACUGGGAAUAAAGAAAAUCUAGCACGCUUCUGAAGGGUAGAAAGAAACAGGUAUGUGCAACAGAUAAGGAAUUAGAAUAAAUUUGGAAUUCUUACUAGCAAACAGAAAGAAAAACAAGCAAAAAAACAAUGGGGAGUGGCUUCAAAAUUCUAUAGGAAAAUUAUUUCCAACCUAGAAUUCUAUAGCCAGCCCGAUUAUCACUCAUAUGUAAGAAUAGAAUAAAAAUAAUUCAGACACACAAAUUCUCAACAAACAUUUAACUUCCACAUGCUUUUUCCCAGGAACUCAUUGGAGGGUAUUCUACCAAAUGAAGGAGUAAGCUAGGGAGAAACAAGACACGCCACACGUGUGAGCUCCCUGGGGCUGCUGUAACAAUAUGCCUCAAACUGGGGGUCUGAAACAACGGAGGUUUACAGUGUCAUGUCCUAGAGGCUAGAAAUCUGGAAUCAUGGUGUCAGCUGGGCCACACUUUCUCUGAAACCUCAAGGGGAAGGUAGGUCCUUUCUUGCCUCUUCCAGCUUCUGUAGCAGCAGAACUCCAGUCUCUGCCUCCGUCUUCACUCAGUCUCCCCUCUGGGCAUGUCUGUCUCUGCGUCUCAUCUCCUCUUCUUAUAAGGACAUCAGUCGUACUGGGUUAAGGGCCCACCCUACUCCAAUAGGACCUCAUCUUAACUAAUUGCGUCUGCAGUGAGCCUAUUUCCAAAUAAUGUCACAUUCUAACGUUCUGGAAAAGACAUGAAUUUGGCAGGGGACAAUAUUUAACCCAGUACAACAUACAGAAACAGGAGGUGAGAGGAAUUCUCUGGAUGCUGGUGAAGGGCUGGCCCAGGCCGACAGCUGUGUACCAGGGCAGAGGGCAACCGGCACAGACUGGGCAGGCCAGACACUCGAAGAUUUUGUCAGGAAGGUGAAACUGAGAUUUACGGAUUGAAUUAAUGAUAAAUACACAGAAAACUGAGCAAACAAACAACAGCAACAAUAAAAAGGCAAUUGUUAAUUCCAGGAAAAACAAAAGAUUAGUUCCUAGCCACAGCUCUGCAAGGCAUACAUAAAUGUACAUAAGAAACAAUGAAUGCUUAUCAAGCCAAAAUUACAGGACAAAUCUAUGGGGAGGGCGGGGGAUGGGAAGUGGUGGAAGUGGAGGGAGGAAAGAGUGAUAAGUCCUUAUCUUCCACGGUUAAGGGAGAAGGCCAAAACCUGAAAAAGCCAGUUAGCAAUUCAAGUAUAUGGAGACAUGUGCAGUACAUAUUAAAAGAGUCAAAAACAUUGCGCCUGGAGAAGAGGAAAUGGGAGGGGAGGGGAAUGAGGAAUGUUGUUUGUCUUAAAGCUUGUACAACUAGUUGAACUGUACAUAUGCAUAACCUCAACUAGAGAAAUAAAAUCCAAACAAGAGAGAGAGGCACAAAUUGGGCCAAAUCAUCAACAGCCUGGUGCAAGGUGCACUACACCAUAAGCACACUUUAUAAUUCACAUAUUUUAUGAUGAAAUUCUAGAGUCAGCUUCGACCAAGGGCAAUUCUGCCUCCCCUCACCCUACCCAGGGGACAUUUGACCAUGUCCAGAAGCAUUUUCGGUUGUCACAGCCCUGGGGGUCUGGUGGCCAGAGACCAGGGACACUGCUGAGUAUCCUUCAGCACACAGAGCGUAGCACUCACAACAAAGAAUUUGCUCAACAACUAACAAAAAAGAAAGAUCUGGCCCAAAAUGUCAAUAACGGCAAGGUUGAGAAACCCUUGCUCAACAGAUGGCUGGGAAGAGAAAACCCAAUGGAGAGGCCUGGGAAACCGGUCUCUCCACACUCACACGACACUCUGACACCAGAUGGCUGCGUUUUCCCACACUGACCCCUUCUCUGAUUCUCUGUGGACCUAACUGGAUGCCCCACAACUCAGUUUACUUCUGACAGUCUAUCUCCAAUCCGUCUACUUGGAGUUAGCGUCACAUCCCACGAGGUAGGGGCUCAGGCCCACAAGACUGCCCCCACUCUAGCUGCUAGCCGCAGGUCCCAGGCCUCCUGUAUUUAUACCAACCGACUGGCUAUAAAUCAGGGGUUCCCACGACCCCCUGCUCAGGUUCAAUAAUUUGCUGGAACAGCUCAUAGAACUCAGGAAGGCACCUUACUCACAUUUACCAGUUUGUUCUAAAGGAUACCGCUCAGGAAGAGCAGAGGGCAAGGCGAGGGGCAGGGCUGGCGUGUGCUUCCGCGCCCUCUCCGGGUGCCCCGCCCUCCCGCACCUUGACGCGGUCACCAACGCGAGGCUCCGAACCCCAUCCUUUUCAGUUUUCGGAGGCUGUGUUCCAUAGGCAUGAUUGACUAACUCAUCCUCCAAUCCCUCUUCCCCACCAGGAGGUCAAGGGCCGGGGUUGAAAGUUCCAACCCUCUAAGCACUGGCCGGCUCCCCUUGCAACCGGCCUGCCCCCGCCCCCCUCCCCCAUCUUCGGGGCUUCCCAAAAGUCACCUCAGGAACAGAAACUCGGGUGUGGUUGAAAGGGACUUGUUAUGAAUAACAAAAGACACUCCCUCCACCUUUAAGGCUCUCAUCAUUAAGGAAAUUCCAAGGGUUUUAGGAGCUCUGUGCCAGGAACAGGGAUGAAGCCCAGAUGUCUAUUUCUUAUUAUAAGUCACGAUGCCACAGGAAGCUGUUGAGAUCCUCGAGGUAGGAAAUCACAAAAGGCUGAAUUCCGAGAGCUCUCGGGUGGACUCCACGGGCCUGGAAACCCGAUGCAGGGGCAGACGGUGGAAGCAAGGCCGAGUUUUCCCACUUGGGUAUUGAGGUGGAUGUUGAUGCCAUGAACCAAAGCCAGGGAAAGGGUGUCGGCGGAGGAGAGAACAAUUUAGUGGGUGAAGUUUAGUCUGAGUCGCUUAGAGGCGACGGGAGGUCAAGGUGAAGAGGCUUAGUCGGGUGGGUUCUGGGGUUCAAGACGGAGGUCUGGAGGGUGGACACAUAUGUGGCAGUCACCGCAUUUAGAAGUAGGGUUUCCUGAGGGCUUUUUUUUAAGCCAGUGUUCACCCCAGACCUAGCAUAGCGGCUGACACUUAAGAGAAAAUUCCUGUUAAAGAUGUACUGACUGAACAAAGGAAAAUCAUGCGUUCUAGUUUCCUGUGGCUGCUACAACAAACGACCACUGUGGGGGAUCAGGAUGUGCCUCCCCAAAAUGUGUCUCUUUAGCUCUGUUAUUUUUAAGGACAAAAGACUCUGAAAGAAACUUUGACCUUCCCUCUAAGUGCCUAAAAGAAUUUAAGACAGAAGGCCUGUCCCAGGACAGGCCAUCACCAUGGACAACUCUCUCCAUCAUCACAUUGUCUAUGGAUGCCCAGCUAACAUUCGUUGACCAAACGUUUGCUUUUCCAUCUCCAUGUGAACUGCCUUACUCCCCUUUGAAGCCCCAAACCACUACCCCCAACAUCCUCCUUUGUCUUUAGCUGAAGAUGGUAUAAGGUGGCGGCUUCAGCCAUUUUGGCGAGUUACUCAGUUUUCCUGGGUUUCUCCCUCGUAUACAUGUUAUUAAACUUUGUUUGUUUUUCUCCUGUUAAUCUGUCUCAUGUCAGUUUAAUUCUCAGACCAGCCAGAAGGACCUAGAGGGGCGAGGAAUAGAGUCUCCUCCCCUAUGUCACAAACUGGGUGCUUAAAAUAACAGAAACUUAUUCUCUCACAAUUUUGGAGGCCAAAAGUCUGAAAUGAGUAUCACUGGGCUGAAAUCAAGGUGUCAACAGGGCUGCACUCUCUGCAGAGGCUCUGGGGAUCAUCUCUCGCCUUGUCCAGCUUCUGGUGGCUGCCAGCACUCCUUGCCUUGUGGCUGCAUCACUCUAAUCUCUGUCGCCAUCUUCAUGUUGACUUCUCCCUUGUGUGUCUCAUCUCCCUCUGCCUCUCUCUUAUGAGAACACUUGUGGAUCUGCCCAGAUAAUCCAGGAAAAUCUCCUCAUCUCAAAAUCCUUAAUUUAGUCACACCUACAAAAACUUUACCAUAUAAGGUAACAUUUGCAGGCUCCAGGAAUAUACUGGAAUAACUCAAUAUGCUUGGGGGUUACCAUUCAGCCCAUGACAGGGAUCUGGACUACAAGCCCCUGGGAAAACAAACCUUAAAAUCCUGAAAUUGAAGAAAUGAUGGGAAGGCUGACUACCCCAGGUGCUGUGGUGGUUUUAAAACGUCCACAGAUCAUCAGAUACCCCUCUCCUGAAAAGGUGUAUUCUAAUUUCCCUGCCCUUGAAUGUGGGCUGCACUUAGUGACUCAUUUCUAACAAAGAGAAUCAAGUGGAGGUGACAGCAUGUGGCUGUGGAGAGUAGGUCACAGAAGGCCCUGUGACUUCCUUCUUGCUCACUUUCUCUUCCAUGACUUGCUUUUGGGACAGCCAGCCACCACGUUAUGGGGACACUGAAGCAGCCUAUGGAGAGGGCAGCGUAGGGAAGAACUGAGGCACCCUGCCGACGGGA
ensembl:lncRNA